CGGUGGUUGUAAACUAAACAAACCUAGGAUUCCCUGCAACUGUACCAUAGAGUGCCAUUUCAAAGACUAGCUAGUAAAAAUUGUCUUUACGUGUUUAUUCAAUGAUUAUAAUUUAUGUGCAAUCCCAAAAAUAUUUUAAUAAACGGAUCAUGAGAAGUUGUUACAAUCCACAAGGUAUUACUAAGUGGAUCCUCAUUCCUCGAGAUAUAUAAGUUGGAAAAUGGAAACAAAGGAUACGUGUUAUAUGCAUAUUGUCUCGUACGUGGUUGGUUGAAAAUUGAAAUUGCUAUCAAGUUGAUUUCGCAGUAGUUUGUGUGGGGAGGUUCAGCCAGGUUCCAAACAUACAUCCAUUCAAUGGACCCCAAAAGUGCAGCCAACUUUUGUGCCGUAGUUGGAUUCCUGACAUUGCCAGGGAGUGCUCAAUGGUUAAUGUUGCAGGGAUUGAACAUCCAUGCACAGUAGUAAUCAGGACCCUGCAUUGGAACCUUGCCGAUUAUUUUCCAUGGGGACUCAAUUUGGGAUAUCUCUAUUUAUGGUGCAUAAACCCGGUGAAGGCCUUUUUCUAAGCCUCCUCGCCACAGCUUUUUCACCAUUGGUAAUUUAUUUUCUUUCAGGACUCACUAAAAGUCUUAGCAAUGAUUUAGUUAUAGUACUACUACCGGUGAGGAGCAAAUAAGAAAAAUAAAUACAAUUGCUGUAGUGCCAGAGGGCUUGUAUGAUAGAGUUGAGGAAGGAAGUAUAAAGCUCAUCAAGAAAGCAGAGGAUUUUGAAUUCUCAAAAGAAGGUAUUGUGUUCGAGGGUGAAGCCGAACCAGUAAAAUUUGACUUAGUUAUACUCGCUACUGGCUUCAACGAAAUUGAUAAGCUCAAACAUAUUUUUGAAUCAUCAAAAUAUCAGGAAUUCAUAAUAGGCUCGGAUGAUUCUACCGCAGUUCCCCUGUACAGGUACGUACAAUUUUCCAUUUGCAGAAGAGAUAAUGGUGCGCCAGAGAUGUUUCGUAUUCUAGACAGUUUUUCCUAGCUUGGAUUUGUACAUUUUGUUGUCAUAUCACGAUCAAAUCAAACAAUAAAUACUCCGAUCAGAGCAGUCUAAACACGACACGAAGGCAAACUCAUGAAAAUAUCCUUAUGUCAAAAUAAAUUGAAUGAACAUUAUCAUGCAACUUUAUUGCAUUCUUUUUUUUUUUUUUUUUUUUGGCUUUUCUAGGUAUCCCCAAGGCCGGCAGCCGUGAGACUAAUCCUCCGUUCCUACUGUCAGCGCACUAAGCGGUAAGGAACUGGCUCAAAAGAACUUAAGCCGCUCGGGUUGGCGUGUUAAGAAAAAAAAGAUACCGUCCAACAGAAAUCUCAAUGAAAAUUAUUGAUAAUACAAUUGCUGAUUUUGGUUUGUUAUUAUGGAAUUUUAAUUAUUGAACUACAGGACAUCAACUGGAUAAUUUUUUUCAAAAAAUCACAGUUAGGUGCCUAUUUGGUUGCAAAUUAGCAAAAGAAUUCAUCGUGCAUAUUGUUGUUGCAGUUGGUAAGCAUUGUGAUAAUACCAAUAGGCAAAGUUACUAAUAUAUAUACUACAACAUCCAUAAUAUAUUACAUCUCUUUACGGGGUGAUUCUUUAUCCGACGAUAUACUUUGUAUGUCAAAUUUCUCUAGCUAUAAUGUUAGAUCAAUUAAUAAUAUAGAGAUUUUUUUUAUCAUUGUUCAAUUUAUUAUUAAGCUAUACUUGGUACAAUUCAAAACAUGUGUUUUAUUAUGUCUAUGUAAUAAUAAUAUAUUGGGGUCCUAAGUGUUGGGUUAUUGUGUCUUUUUUCCCUCCUAUAUGGAUAAAUGAAGCCCAAUUUGGACCAGCCCACUUUUGCCCAUAGGUUCAUUACUAUGAGGCAUAUAUAUUGAUCUUUUUAAGUCUUAUUCACCAUCACAAAA